GUAAUUUUAUUUAUAACAGGUUCUCAGUAGACGUGUGCAAAAAAUACUUUUCAUCUGGUACAAAUGAAUCAAAUACAUUUUAACCUGCACCUGAAUGAAUCUAUCCGUUCAGGAUUAACCAAUGGAGUCAAUGAAUAUUCACUUAAUAAGACUCCAUGGGUAAAUCCUGGAUGGAUCAGUUUGGGCGCAGGUUAAAAGGCAUGCGAUUUGUUCGUACCAGCUGAAAAGCAUUUGUGCAGAAAUUUAGAAGUUAGUAAACAAACUGCUAUGACAAAAAUUCCUUGAAACUGUCAGAGGAAUGUUUAAUCUGCUGCUAGCAUUUGUAUUUCCCCCACCAUUGAACAUUAAAGAAACACUAUAGGGUCAGGAACAUAAACACGUAUUCCUGACCCUAUAGUGUUAAAAUACUAUCUAUCCCCCCCUGGUACACCUAAAUAUAGUAAAAUCUUACCUUUAUUCCAGUCUGCUGCUGGCUGUGCCCGUGAUCUGCCUCCUUGGCUGACAUCAUCAGAACUGAUGAACUCAGCCAAUCACAAUACUUCCCCAUAGGAAAGCAUUGGAUUGGCUGAGAUUGUCAAUUCUGAUGAUCUCAGCCAAAGAGACUGACCAGGGGCGGAGCCAAAUGACACCCUUGCCAAUCAGCAUCUCCUCAUAGAGAUACAUUGAAUCAAUGCAUCUCUAUGAGGAAAGUUCAGAAUCUCCAUGCAGAGGGCGGAGACACUGAAUGUCAGUGCUGCACACUGUGCAGCACUUCCCAAGGAAGCACCACUAGUAUCUUCUGAGGAGUGGCUUCUGGAGGUGUCCCUAGGCUGUAAUGUAAACUCUGCCUUUUCUAUGAAAAGACCGUGUUUACUGCAAAAAGCCUGCAGGGACUGACAAUACUCAUCAGAACAACUAUAUUAAGUGUAGUUGUUCUGGUGUCUAUAGUGUCCCUUUAAUUUUACUUUUGUUUCUCUCUGCUGAAC